GCAGGGGUAGCAAAGCUUGGUCAAAUGCGCUAGCUUGAGGGGCUAGUGUCUUAGGACUUCGUGGGUUCAAAUCCCUCCCCCUGCA
rnacentral:tRNA from 1 species